CUCAAUACAAUAAAGUCCAUAUAUGACAAACCCACAGCCAACAUCACACUUAGUAGCAAAGCGUUUUCCUCUAAGAUCGAGAACAAGACAAGAAUGCCCACUCUCCCCACUUUUAUUCAACAUAGUACUGGAGGUCCUAGCCACAGCAAUCAGACAACACACAGAGAUAAAAGGCAUUCAAAUUGCACAGAAAUCUGUUGCAUUCCUAUAUACUAACAAUGAACUACAGUAUGGGAGAAUCUAUUCAUAAAUUGGUAAGGAAGAAAUUCAACUGUCACUGUUUGCAGAUGACAUGACAUUAUACAUAGAAAACCCUAAAGAUUCCACCAAAAAAUUAUUAGAACUAGUAAAUGAAUUUAGCAAAGUUGUAGGAUACAAAAGUAAUACACAGAAAUCUGUUGCAUUCUAUAUACUAACAAUGAACUAGCAGAAAGGGAAAUUAUGAAAACAACUCCAUUUAUGAUUGCAUCAAAAAGAAUAAAAUACCUAGGAAUAAACCUAACCAAGGAAGUGAAACACCUGUACUCCAAAAACUGUAAGACACUCAUGAGAGAAAUUAAAGAAGACACCAAUAAAUGGAAAUAUAUCCUGUGCUCAUGGAUAGGAAGAAUUAAUAUAGUCAAAAUGGCCAUCCUGUCCAAAGAAAUUUACAGAUUCAAUGUAAUCCCCAUCAAAAUACCAACAUCAUUCUUCAAUGAACUAGAACAAAUAGUUCUAAAAUUCAUAUGGAACCACAAAAAACCCGAAUAGCCAAAGCAAUCCUGAAAAAGAAGAACAAAGCUGAGGAGAUUAUGUUCCCUAACUUCAAGCUCUACUACAAAGCCACAGUAAUCAAAACAAUUUGGUACUGGCACAAGAACAGACCCAUAAAUCAAUGGACUAGAAUAGAGACCCCAGCUAUUAACCCACAAAUAUAUGGUCAAUUAAUAUAUGAUAAAGAAGACAUGAACAUACAAUGGGGAAAAGGCAGCCUCUUCAACAAAUGGUGUUGGGAAAACUGGACAGCUACAUGUAAGAAUAAAACUGGAUAUUGUCUAACUCCGUACACAAAAGUAAACUCAAAAGGGAUCAAAGACCUGAAUGUAACUCAUGAAACUGUAAAACUUUUAGAAGAAAAGACAGGCAAAAAUCUCUUGAAUAUAAGCAUGAGCAAUUUUUUCCUGAACACAUCUCCUUGGGCAAGGGAAACAAAAGCAAAAAUGAACAAAUGGGACUACAUCAAACUAAAAAGCUUCUGUACAGCAAAGGACACCAUCAGUAGAACAAAAAGGCUUCCUACAGUAUGGGAGAAUCUAUUCAUAAAUGACAUAUCUGAGAAUGGGUUAACAUCCAAAAUAUAUUAAGAGCUCACACGCCUUAACACCCAAAAAGCAAAUACCUGAUUAAAAAAUGGAUGGAGGAUCUGAACAGACACUUCUCCAAAGAAGAAAUUCAGAUGGCCAACAGGCACAUGAAAAGAUGCUCCACGUUGCAUAUUAUCAGGAAAAUGCCAAUUAAAACCACAAUGAGAUAUCACCUCACACCAGUUAGGAUGGCCAACAUCUAAAAGACAAGGAACAACAAAUGUUGGUGAGGAUGUGGAGAAAAGGGAACCCUCCUACACUGUUGGUGGAAAUGUAAAUUAGUUCAACUGAUAAGGAAAAUAUUCAACACAGCCAUCAAGGUAAGCAAACUGCUUUUUCCUCUAGUUGGCAAAGCACUCCUAGCUCCCUCCUCCAGGCUCCUCUUUUGCCCUGUGCAUGCCGAAAUGUCACAUAUCAAAAUAAUAUAAAUUGCUCCCCUUGCUUGUGCUCAGGGCUCAGACCUUGGGAAAUUACUCCCUUCUGAGCCCGCCAGUGUGAAAUAAAACCACAACACUCCAAGACCUCUGAGUGCCGCUUGGUUCUUCCGUCAGUGAUCCAGUCCAGGUUUUCCAGUAUUUUCCAUAACAUUUGGUUCCCUGACCGAACCGCGCUGACCCAUUGUUGCCACCGGUUUGGGGCAAUGGCGGGGCGGUGAUGGAACGGGAGACCUCAAUGGAGAAGGCGUGCUCUGCCUGAUCUCUCGGCAGUCUCCCACCCAGUGGCCCUGGGCCAGCCCCGCUCCACUGUUCCUGCCAGACUCAAGGAGGCUUGGCAACUGAGGACCUGGUUUUAACGUGGAAUCCGUACAGAUUUUAACUAAAUCUCUCAACAUUACCUGGAAACUCCACACUGCAUACCAGCUACAAAGUUCAGGGAAAGUGGAGCGAAUAAAUCGCACCCUCAAAGGAACCCUAGCUAAGUUUUGCCAAGAAACUGGCCUCCCGUGGCCAGACCUACUGCCCCUGGCUCUCCUGAAUACUCACUGCACACCUGGGACUCAAGGCUUUUCCCCUUUUGAAUUAGUGUAUAAACACCUUUCCCCGUGUCUAAGGAGCCUCCCAGGGAACCUACACCAGAUAAGAAAUAAGAGAGUAAGAGAACAGCUCUAAGCCUUAAGAGCCACCCUAAAUAAGCUGCAGCAAUAUACCAUAGAAAGAGCCCUGAUCUCCUUAGGGACCUCAGUACAUUCCUUCCAGGCUAGGGACUCAGUCUGAGUCAAAAAUUGAAAAAGAGAACCCCUCAAACAUCAGUAGACUGGGCCCCACAUUGUUGUUCUAACUACUCCUACUACCCUCAAAGUUACAGGCAUGACUCCGUGGGUCCAUCAUUUCAGAGUGAGAAGAGCCUAUACUCCGGACAAAGAAAUACAUCAGUGGAAGCCCAGCCAGACCUCCAGAAUCCUCUCCACCUCUGCAUCUGAUGAUUACCCUCUGACCAAUGAACACCUGCACGCCAUGGAUCCUGGCCCUCGCCAGAAUGGAAUCUCUCAUCCUGGGCAUUAAACUGUCUGCUGCUGCCCCCUCUGACUAAACUGUUCCUCAAAAAUUUGCCCUUUCUAUUGUCUACUGUGUAAUCAUUAAGUUGUUUUGCUGUGCUUACCUGACUCUCCUAGCUGAACUCAAGUCUCAGCCUGCAUUUCCAAAGUACCUCUCUAUAAUGUUUAACUGUACAAGAGUUAUAAAGUGCAUAGUCAUCACCCAAGGGAGCAGCCCUCAGUGACCCUACACCUUUAACACCUGUCUUCUCACACUCAGAUAAACCAGCCUGAGUGUAAUGCUCAGCUGCAUAAAAAUAAAUUAAGACUGAGAAAAACUGGGUAUUUUUUGUUAAGCACAGACUUAUCAAGAGUCUGAAGGACUCAUUUCAACUUGUACACACAAGGCCCAUACAGACAAAUGGAUAAGAACAUAAUCAUUUGUGUUCUUCACAAAGUACUCAGGACUUUAAUGAAAAAGUCACAAGGAAAAAUCCUUACUCAAAGCAAUUAAAAGUAUAAAUACAAGUCAUUAUAACGCUAUCAUAAACCAAAAAGAUGAUGCUCCCUAAAACAAAGUGUUUAAAGGGGAAUCAGAGGGGGGAAUGAUAAGGAAAAUAUUCAGCACAGCCAUCAAGGUCAGCAAACCGCUUUUUCCUCUACUUGGCAAAGCACCCCCAGCUCCCUCCUCCAGGCUCCUCUUUUGCCCUGUACAUGCCAAAAUGCCACAUAUCAAAAUAAUAUAAAUUGCACCCCUUGCUUGUGCUCAGGGCUCAGACCUUGGGAGAUUACUCCCCUAUGAGCCCGCCAGUGUGAAAUAAAACCUCAACACUCUGAGACCUCCGAGUGCCGCUUGGUUCUUCCAUCAGUGAUCUAGUUGUCCAGUAUUUUUGGUAACACAACCACUGUGGAAAGAAAUAUGGAAGUUCCUCAAAAAACUAAAAAUAGAAAUACCGUUUGACCCAGGAAUUUCACUCCUGGGAAUUUACCCAAAGAAAACAAGAUCCCAGAUUCAAAAAGACAUAUGUACCCCUAUGUUUACUGCAGCACUAUUUACAAUAGCCAAGAUAUGGAAGCAACCUAAGUGUCCAUCAGUAGAUGAAUGGAUAAAGAAGAUGUGGUACAUAUACACAAUGGAAUAUUAUUCAGCCAUAAGAAGAAAAGAGGAGGUGGAGCCAAGAUGGCGGUGUGAGUAGAGCAGCGGAAAUCUCCUCCCAAAACCACAUAUAUCUAUGAAAAUAUAACAAAGACAACUCUUCCUAGAAUAAAGACCAGAGGACACAGGACAACAUCCAGACCACAUCCACACCUGAGAGAACCCAGCGCCUCACAAAGGGGAGGAUCAAAGCCUAACUUGGCUACCCAGAAAAUGAACUAAGAUACGAUAUGAAGAAGAACUUCCAACAUCAGCACUCUCUGGAAGAGUCAUACCAGAAGAUGAUCAUCAAAAAACCUCAACAAAGAUCCAGGCGAUGCUGCAGUUGUAGCUGCAUUCAUCCCACUGGUUCCUGGACUUGCCAUUGGAAUGAAGAAGGAGAUAUCUAAGCUGGCCUGUGCAUACAGUAAAACAACAAAUUUGACUGGAUCUACACUGUUGGAACUCAACCAAGAAUUAGAAGAAGUGCAAGUUGUAGUGCUCCAAAAUCUUACAACUACAGACUAUCUACUGUUAAAAACAUAUGGGAUGUGAACAAUUCCCAGGAAUGGGUUGUUUUAAUUUGUCUGAUUUCUCUCAGACUGUUCAAGUACAGUUGGACAAUAUCCAUCAUAUCAUAGACAAAUUUUCACAAAUGCCUAGGAUGCCUAACUGGUUUUCUUGGCCUCACUGGAGAUAGCUGGUAAUUAUAGAUCUGCUUUGGUUACGUAACUGUAUUCCUAUUAUGUUAAUGUGUGUGUGCAAUUUAAUUAGUAGUUUAAAACCUAUACAUGCUUAAAUUACUCUACAAGAAGAUAUGUCAAAGAAAUAAUCAAUCUCCCCAUGUUUUCUUCCAUCUGCUACCUCUAUAGCUUUUCUUCUUCCUUCCUAAUUACAACCCUUUAGUAGAAUUCGUGCCCCAUAUCGAAUUUACCAAGUAUCAUAAUUCCUCCAAGUGCUAAAGAUACCUCAAGACAAAUGCUGGGCACAGAAGCCACAGGGCAUAAAUCUGCAUAGAAGUAAAAAGCUAACCUUUUCAAACAAUAAGGCUUCUCUCUCACUUACCAACUUUACAUUUCCCUGUAUGGCCCCGGAAGAUGACUGGUUAGCCAGAGACGGGUAAGAUUCCUCAAGGGAGGAACAACCUAAGACAGGCACAGUCGCAGGGGGGCCAUCAGGUAAGAAAUUGGGGAUCAAAAGAGGUGAGGCUUAG